rnacentral:lncRNA from 1 species
AAAACUUUAAAGCCAUGAUUCAUGGAGAUAAUAAUACUAUUGAUAAUGAAGUAGAAAAUAUAAUUAUCAAUUCAAAAAGUUUCUUCAACCACGAAUCAUUAAUUUUUGCUAUGAAAGGAAUUGACAUACAAAUGGAGAGGAUUCUAGCCAUUUUCAUGACAAUUGAUUUGUUAGCAAUCAGUUUCAAGGAGGAAUUAUAGGAGUGGUGGGAAAGUUUAAUCCACUCAAAUGUCUCAACAUUUCUCGUCAAUAACCUCACAGGCGAUAUUCCAUCAUCAUUUGGAAAUUUGACAAAGCUUGAUCUUUAAACCUCUCCCCAAACAAGCUUGUUAGGCUGAUUCCAAUGUAAUUGGUGAGUUCAAAUACUAUUUUGGUGCUAAAUCUUUCAUACAUUUUCAAAUGAUUCUUGUGCUAGGAACCUGGGGUAGUGUGGAUUCCCAUUGUCAAUUGCUUGCAACGAUGAUGAGGCACCAUAACUGACAGUACCAAAUUCGAGCUGGUUUGAUUGGAAGUUUACCAAGAUGGAUUACACAUCUAGGUUGGGGAUGACUUGUCCAUUGGAUAUAUGGUAUUUAUAAAUGGAAGGCCAAGUUGGUUUGUGUGGAUGAUAAAAAAGAAGUAAUCUAAUAAGGCGAGAAGAGUGAUCAGACAAUGUAGAACAAGAAGAAGAAAUUAGUAAAAUUAGUAAGUUCACAUCUAGCUCAGAUGAGUAAUUAUCAAGUGUUCUUUUGGAUUUGUAAUCUUAUUAUUAUUCUUUCCCUAGAUAACAUCAUAGCAUAUUGAUAUUUUUCAAAAUUUUUAAGGAAAAGAAAUGAUUUGAAAUAGGGUGAGACUAUUUAAACUCACCAUAAUACUCAAUAAACCCAUUUACUAAUCAAGUCAUCGUCUAAAUUUAAAAAUUUAUCUUUCAUUCAAUAAACCCACCUUUAUAACCAUUAUACCCUUAUUUAAAUCUCUUUCUCUUCUCUUUCUUUUUUGCGACUUCUAUAUCUCUACUUCCUCUUAGUAUUCUAUUUUUGUUUUAUAACCAAAUCAUCCACUGUUCUUGUCUUGUUGCAGUGGCUCUUUUUCAUUUUUUUUUCUCCUUGACUGAAACUCUCAAAGUUCUAUCAUGAAACACUAAAAAAAGGAUAAAGUAUAAAGAUCCUUGAUCUCAAUUAAAAGACAAUUUUUUUCACACCAAAUUGCAAGGAAAUAUAAUGUAUGUCAAAGUAAAUAAGUCUUUUAUUCCUUCUCAAAAAAAAAUAAGUCUUUUAUUUAUACGCUAUAGUUUAGUAAUGUUAAAGAGCAACAAUAAUCUUUUAUAUCUAUUGAAAAAUAAAUGCAGAUAUAAAAACUUUAGAGAGAGAAAUUAAAGACGAUUAAGUUACAAUAAUAUUUAGCUAUAAUGAUUAUAAUAAUAAUUUAAUUUAAGGAUAUUUGUGUAAUAAAUUAUCUUUUUAGAAUUGGAUUAAUGAAUAGUUUGGUGAAUUCAAAUAACUCCACUCUUUGAAAUAAUGUUAUAUUCUUGCAAGUCAUGAUGCAUCUGGUGUAGCAUGGGCCGUUUAUUUUGGGUUUGGGUGUAGAUCAAUGAAAGGUUGUGAAUUUUCCCUAUUGAAAUUAACAUAUACUACUUACCUUCUAUGAUUUUUAUAAUAAUCAAUAACUCUUAUGGCAACAUAAUUUUACAGUAUUAUCCUCAUUUUCUAAUACCUUUUUAUUCAUAUUUAUUAUAAAUUAAAUAAAUUAUAUAAAUUAAAAUAAAAAUAAAAAAUUUAAGUAUUGAAAAUAAGCAAUAUAUGUUUUGAUGCGAAUAAAAAAUUAAUAAUAAGAUUUUUUUUGUACUUUUUAUUUUUUUAAACUCUACCCAUUUAAAAUUUUCAGAGAUAUCUCCGAACUCCCCCCAAAUAAGAAUUUUUGGGUAUAAAGGUGGGUUCCGGGAUCAUGAUCCCUGACCUCAAUUUGCCCAUUAUCAUCCCUGCCUAGUAUGAAACAGGACAUGAUUUGUUUCAAAUAAUUCAGCCCUAUACAGUGCCCAUAAACAAAUGCACCUUUGUGCUUAGAAAUACAUACAGAAUGCCAAGAUAAUUAAAUGUUCCUAACCGUCUUUAGGAAAAAAAGAAAAUGUAAUGACUUCGGUAAAGGUAAUAAUACAGACAAUGCUAAGCUUCUUGUAUACGUCUGGCUUUGAACUGGUUUGUGGAAAAACUGUGAAAAGGGAGUGGUUCUACAUUCACCACGAUGCCUUCCUAGGACUCACCAUUCCCCGCCGAACACGUGGCCUAGAUUGCCCUCUUCAUUAAUUGAAUGAAAGGAUCCUACUUUGAACUGUCAACUUUCUUAUCCUGACCAUGUGGCCACGAGAUUCACAUAAUUAAUUAGAUUUUGAAUUUUACAAAUUAGCGACAAAGACACUCACCUAACCGGCCAGAUUCCAUAUAGAGUUCCAAGCUCCGUAACAAGAUCACUUCGUGCUUUAAAAUUAUUACAUAAUUAAUUGGAUUCAAUCCUUUCCAUUCACUGGAUAAAUGGGUUACUUAACACAGCCUUGUCCAGUUUUGAUCUGCCUCCAGUUAUUGCUCUUGUAUUUUCAGUGUUCUGCGAAGCUUUGCUCUCAUGAUCAAAGCUCUGCGUUACUCCAAUUUAAGCAACUCUUUUCUUUUGAACAACAUUCUUCGUCUGACUGUGAUGAAGUAUAUCAACAAUCUCGUCCAAAGAUGAUGUCUUGGAAAGAGGAUGCUGAUUGCUGCUCAUGGGAUGGAGUAACAUGUGAUACGGUGGCUGGUCACGUGAUUGGCCUCGACCUUAGCUGUAGUUGGCUUCACGGCAAUAUCCCUUCCAAUAGUAGCCUUUUCUUUCUUCCUCACAUACGAAAGCUCAACUUGGCUUUCAAUGAUUUUAAUUACUCCGAGAUUUCUUCUGGUUUUAGUCAACUUCGGAGCUUGACACUCCUUAACCUCUCUUCCAGCAAUUUCAUGGGGUCAAUUCCUGCAUCAAUAGGUAAUAUCACCCAACUUUCUUAUUUGGAUCUUUCAUAUAAUAAUUUUAAUGGUCACAUACCAUCUUCCUUUUCAAAUCUUGAGCAGCUUCAUUAUUUAAUUCUGAGGAGCAAUUUUUUCGUUGGUAAAAUUCCUGAUAUUUUUACCAAUCUAACCCAACUUUCUUACUUAGAUUUCAGUAGUAACCAACUUUCUGGCUCAAUUCCGAGCUCAGUCUAUGAGCUUGAGAAUUUGAUUCUUCUCAGACUUUCUUCAAACAGAUUAAGCGGCACCGCUGAGCUGUACGAUUUUGCAAAGCUCAAAAAUCUUAAAUGGCUAUUUGUUUCUAAUAAUAGAUUAUCAUUGAGCACCAAAUUAAAAGUCAACUCUUCCUUUCCCAAUCUUUUUGGGUUGGGUUUAUCUGCUUGCAAUGUAAGUGAAUUUCCGGACAUCUUAAGAACCCUGCAUCAAUUGCAGUGGUUGAACCUUUCUAAAAACCGAAUUCAUGGUAGGAUUCCUAGUUGGAUGUGGGACUUAGGAAUAGCUACUUUGUAUUACCUAGAUCUUUCCAACAACUUCCUGACAAACAUUGAAUAUUUUCCACCGACAAAUAUGACCCAACUUAACUUUGAUUCGAACCUAACCCACAAGGUCUUGGAUAUGAGAAUGAACAACUUCAAUGGAAAAAUCCCUCGAAAGUUUGUAAAAAGUUGUAAUUUGACGAGUCUUAACCUUAAUGGAAAUCGGCUGGAAGGACCACUGCCACCAUCUUUGGUGAAUUGUCAUCACUUGGAAGUUUUAAAUGUUGGGAAUAAUCAAAUCAAUGAUAACUUCCCCAAUUGGUUAGAAAUUCUUCCAGAAUUGCAAGUUCUUAUCUUGCGUUCCAAUAGAUUUUGGGGUCCCAUUGGUGAGAACACAACAAUAGUUCCAUUCCCUAGCUUAAGAAUAAUUGAUUUGUCUCACAAUGAAUUCACCGGAGUUUUGCUAACAGGAUAUCUUGAUAAUUUUAAAGCCAUGAUGCAUGGGAAUAAUAUUAGUGUUGAAGUGGAUUAUAUGACACCUUUGAAUUCUUCUAAUUACUAUGAAUCAAUAAUUUUGACUAUCAAAGGCAUUGACAUCAAAAUGGAGAGAAUUCUAACCAUUUUUAUGACAAUUGAUUUGUCGAGUAAUAAAUUUCAAGGAGGAAUUCCAGAAGUGGUGGGAAAGCUCAAUUUACUCAAAGGUCUCAACAUUUCUCACAACAACCUGACAGGUGAUAUUCCAUCAUCGUUGAGAAAUUUGACCGAGGUCGAAUCUCUAGACUUGUCUUCAAACAUGCUUGUUGGGCAUAUUCCAACGCAAUUGACGAGCCUGAAAUAUCUUUCAGUGCUAAAUCUUUCGUACAACCAGUUUGAGGGACCUAUACCUCGAGGAUCCCAAUUCAAUACAUUUCCAAAUGAUUCAUAUGUUGGUAACUCAGGGUUGUGUGGAUUCCCAUUGUUAGAAAGCUGCAACAUUGAUGAGGCGCCAGAACCAGUAGGGUCAACAAGAUUUGAUGAAGAAGAAGAUGCCUCAAGUUGGUUUGAUUGGAAGUUUGCUAAGAUGGGUUAUGGAUCUGGAUUGGUGAUUGGCUUGUCCGUCGGAUACAUGGUAUUUGGGACUGGAAAGCCACGAUGGCUUGUAAGGAUGAUUGAAAAGUAUCAAUCUAACAAGGUCAGGAUAAGAGUGAGCAGUCUUGGUAUCGCAAGAAGAAAUUAGUAAGUGCAUCACUUUCUCAUAUUAGUUUAAGUAGGUUACAUGCUGAUAUUUUCCAUCAUCUCAACUAAUAUUUUAACCAUAUAUUAAUAAUCUGAUGUGUUUUUUGUUCAGGAAUUUUACACUCAUGGAAUGGAAUUAAGCUGUCGAAGUCAAAUAAUCACCCUCCAGGUACAGAAAUUAAUUUUCUCGCUUUUAUUUCCAAUUCCUAAUAAUAUACUAAGACUUAAUCUUUUGUUGGAAAGCUUGAUCAAAAUUCUGAGGGAAAAAAUCAUUUGAUUAAAUAAUGUUGCUGUAAGAAAUGGGGUUGGGGCAGCUUGAUUUGGUGUAUCUUGCCUUCGGUAGGCAUGUUUGAUUAUCUGCCAGCAUUUAGAAGAUUUUGAUAUUGGGAAUAAUCAAAUUAAUAAUAACUUUUCCCACUGGUUAGAUGUUCUUCCUAAAUUGCAAGUUCUUAUAUUAUGAUCUAACUGAAUUUGGGGUCCCAUUAGUGAUACCAAAAUAAGAGUUCUCUUCCUAAGUAUUGAAUAAUUGAUCUCUUUAACAAUGAACUCACUGAUGUUUUACCAACAUGGUUUCUGGAAAGCUUUAAAGCCAUGAUUCAUGGAGAUAAUAAUACUAUUGAUAAUGAAGUAGAAAAUAUAAUUAUCAAUUCAAAAAGUUUCUUCAACCACGAAUCAUUAAUUUUUGCUAUGAAAGGAAUUGACAUACAAAUGGAGAGGAUUCUAGCCAUUUUCAUGACAAUUGAUUUGUUAGCAAUCAGUUUCAAGGAGGAAUUAUAGGAGUGGUGGGAAUGUUUAAUCCACUCAAAUGUCUCAACAUUUCUCGUCAAUAACCUCACAGGCGAUAUUCCAUCAUCAUUUGGAAAUUUGACAAAGCUUGAUCUUUAAACCUCUCCCCAAACAAGCUUGUUAGGCUGAUUCCAAUGUAAUUGGUGAGUUCAAAUACUAUUUUGGUGCUAAAUCUUUCAUACAUUUUUAAAUGAUUCUUGUGCUAGGAACCUGGGGUAGUGUGGAUUCCCAUUGUCAAUUGCUUGCAACGAUGAUGAGGCACCAUAACUGACAGUACCAAAUUCGAGCUGGUUUGAUUGGAAGUUUAC